rnacentral:tRNA from 2 species
AUUCAUAUAGUUUAUUAAAACAUUUUAUUUUCGUUAAAAAGAUGAGUAUUUAUUUCUAUGAAUU